GAAUUAGAGCGUCGAGGUUAGGGUUACGCCGAUGCGCACCGAAAUCAUCAUCAGAGCCACUCGAACCCAAGCCGUUCUCGGGGAGAAGGGAAGGAGAAUUAGGGAACUUACCUCCGUGGUUCAGAAGAGGUUCAAGUUUCCCGAGAACAGCGUUGAACUCUAUGCCGAAAAA